UCCACCACUCCUGACUUAUCAUCGUCGUCCGCGCCCAGCAUCAUGCCCAGUUGAUUCACGUCCUGCACCUGACCCUACUAAUAACGCGGAAUAGUUUAAUAAUGAAUAAUACGCAGCAAUAUGUUAUACAGAUAUUUAAAGAAAACUAGUAACAAAUAAUCAGAGAUCUUUUGAGCUAAGCUGGAAAUUUUCUUGGCUUUACAUCUAUUUUUCUCUAGAGUUAUCUUGGCUACGGGAUCACCUACAAGGUCUAAACGCACUCAUUGCUACGACCUAUCUUUUUUGCUAGCCAACGUAUGGGCCGAGUAUUACUCGGCUACCUCACAUACUUAGAGAAAAUGAAUACCUCAUACUAACAGCUAUAGCAAUAAUAGAACACGAUUAUAAGUAACAGUUGAAAAUAGAUAAAAGUAUAGCAUAAAAAUUGUCGAUUAUAACAUUAUGAAAUUAUAAUUUUUCUAUGCCCCAGACAGUAUAUAUAGACCCUAAACGGUAUAUUUUCUAUAUUUUGAAUAGUGUUAAUCUUUCUUCUCACGCAACUAAGAUUGCCAAACUUGAAAAUGAUCUUCAAAACUGGAAUAUUCCAGAAGAACCUUUCAAAACCUUUUACCAACUAGGUAACUUUAGUUUCAUUAAAAGACAUAAUAUUAAGACCUGUGAGUCUACCACCGCUAUCAAUAAUUCCCUAGAAAUUAUUAGACUUUUAAACGAGCAUGAUAUAAAUCGGUAUAAAACCUAGUUUAAUUAUCUUCAUAUAGGACUCGUACAAGUCGUUGUCAAGCCUCUCUUUCGAAAAGGCUUAGAUAUUCCUAUUUGUGUUCUCCUUAGAGACGAUCGUCUUCUUAACUUCGACGACUCCCUCUUACGUGUUCUUCAAAGUAACCUCGCCGAUGGCCCGGUAUACUUUAAUUGCUAUCCUAACUUCUCGGUUGACAUCAAUGAUCCCAACGUCAUAGAUGCCGUAACACUUAAUGUCAAAAACAAGAAUAUGAAUAGCAAAGCCAAUACUCGAGAGAUAGCCGUUUACAAGGUAUAUUAUAGGCUUAUGUCAACUACCCUUGCCCCAAAGGCAAGAAUUGAAAGUAAAAAAGUAGUUACCAUGCUUAUGGAAGCGAACCAUGAGCACAGUACGGUCUUCGUACCUAGACACCUCAACUGGAACGACAAACUUUCCAGUAAUGAUUGGCACUUUGAUACCAUAACUCAACCACUACGCUCCCAUUCUGAGAGAUCUCAAAUAGAAAGGGUAAUCCAAUUCCCUGAUGGUUCAAUCGAUCCUAAAUUUCUUAAAAAUUCGAUGAGUCGAACCUCUUCCCUUGGAAGAACGUCAUCAGCGCGACCUUCAUCAUCUAGACCCCCUUCUUCGUCAAAAACUCCGGAGGAAAUUCACACUGACAAUGACAAAGGAAAAAUCAGAGGAGUUGAUUUCUCUGGAGACGUUCCCAAAGUUUACUACCAGACCGAAACCUAUGUCCAGGUAGCCCCUCUCGGAGCGAUAUGGACCCUCCUCCUGCUACACCCGAAUUCGUCAAAAUGAUUAGGUCAGAAGAUUUAUUUACUCCCAAUCCCGAGAUUCUCAAAAAUCUCUGAACAGAUCCUAACAACCAAACCAACAGAAAUUGGUAUAUCGCCACCUACUCUCUUCAGCAAAGGGAAGCUUUUAGAGAUUGUUGGAUGUCAGACAUGAAAAGAAUUAGAUGUGAAAUCGAGUUCUUUAAAUGGUUUGAAAUAUCUGGCAAACUCGAAAACCAAAAGGAUUCCCUCCAAGUCAUCAUCAACAAGGGGUAUACCACCACAAACAAAGUUGUUGAAUAUGUCAUUCCUCUCCUUGAAGGAAUCAACAUUCGAGUCUCCAAUAUUAUUAUUACAGGUUCCCCCUUUAAAACAAAAAGUUGAAAACCUCAAGUUAUAGUUUCAUGUUUAGACAUUCGAUCGAGUCAUCGAAUAAAACAACGAUACCAACUUCUUAACAUCGUUUCUAGACAAAUAGAAGAAACAAAAGAAAAAUCCUCGUUUAGUCAUAAACCUACUCCUUCAAAAGCCAACACUAGUCAAGAUAUUGAUUCUAGUCCAGUUUUCAAAAUGACAGAAUUCUCAAGAGAUAAAUUCCCCAAGUUUAAAGAAACUUUUGAGAUCUCUGGCAAUGUGCUUGACAAAAUCAACGAACAAUUAUCCAACUUCAAUAUUUCUGACCAAAACGAGUCAAAAACAAAGAGUUUCUACCAUCCAGGAAAAAGAUAUUCUUCUCCAAAAACUCUCUAAUGAUCGGUAUCAUAACCGAAAAAACUAUCACAAGCGUCCUUUUCCUGACCUACAGUACGAAGAAAACGCCUUUUUGUCUACCUCCUCUCAUGAAGGGAGAAGCAUCCCAUAAUGGAAUAUCGAUGGACUAGCUGAACAUCAGAUAUAUAACAAACUCCAUGAAAUGAGCGUUUCCAUAACUGCUUACAAAAUCAGAGGUUCCUCUGACAAAGAAGCAACCUCUAUGAUAGUAGUCGAUUUUACUGGUAUGUUAAGACAUUGGAGGGAUAAUUAUUUCACUGAUGAUAUCAAACGUGCCAUCUAUGAUGCCACAACUAUUGAAACAGUCGUCAAGACUGAAGGGACCUCUGAAACUACCACUCAGGUAUCCAGAGAGGAUGCUUGCGCUACCCUCGUUUAUCAUAUCGCAACACACUUCAUUGGAGAACCCAAACUCUUUCAAGAUAGAAGCUUGCAAAUCCUCAAUAAUCUGUCGUGUCUUACCCUAGACGACUUCAUAUGGUAUAAAAACCAAUUCAUCAGCAAAUUCAUGAUUAGACCAGACUAUAAUCUUAAUUUCUGGAAAGAACGCUUCGUCAGCGAACUACCUCCUCUUUUCGCAGAAAAGGUCAGAACCAAAAUUCAAGAUCGAUGUGAUGGUAAAAUUUCUUACCAUCAAAUGACAUAUGGAGACAUUAUCAGCAUCAUUAAUGUAGUAGGGUUAGAACUCUGUACAGACAUCAAAUUGAAACACCAGCUCAAAAAAGAGCGAUCUUCAUCUAGAAGAGAGUUAAGCACCUUUUGCCAAGACUUCGGAUUUACCUAUAUUUCUGCCCCUUCUACCCAUUCUUCCAAAAAAGACAAAAAAUCAAAAUCAUAUAGGAAAAAUAAUAAUAGAAAAUCAAGUAAAAAUUCCGAACCCCCCCCCCCCCCCAAAAGAAGAUCUAAAUUUCACAAACCUUCUAAGAUUUCUAACACUGAUGUUUGUUGGUACUGUGGAAAAGCCGGUCACCGAGCCAGUGAAUGCAAAUCAGGCAAGAAGAAAAAGAAAAUCAAUCUUCUUGAAAUCAGCGAUGACACAAAGAAAGAGCUUUACUCUAUUCUCGAAGAAGCUUAUUCUGAUCCCGCACCUCAUCAUUCCUCAGAUGAAUAUAGUGACGAGGAAAAUAUCAAUGUCGCCUAUAAUUCAGAUUCUAGUCAAUCAAGUGGUGAAUGCAAUUGCAUUAAAGCCAUAUGCACUUGCGAUAACUCAUCCAGAAUCAGAGUUUUAACUAAUGACUCAAAACAAGCUCUCUUCGAUGUCAUCCAACACAUCAAUGAUGAAGAAUCUAGAAAACGUUAUCUUCUAGAACUCAAAAAUCUUAUCCUCAAUCAUCAAGAAGAUAAACCCAAAACUAAGGACAUCAUUGAACCUUUUAGCAUGAAACAAAUUAUGUCUCGUUUUGAUAAUCCUUCCGAACCUUCAAUCUCCAAUCUAAGACAUGAAGUUGCAGAACUCAAAGGAGAAAUCAGAGACAUAAAGUCUAGACUUGGAAAGGUAGAGCUUGAUGCUCUUACAGAUCAAGUCCUCAGGUGUGCUAAUUCCUAUAAUCAUAAGUCUAACGACGAACUUUCUCUAAAGGAAGAAGUCCUCCCCAAUAAUGAUCAUUUGACUGAAUCUACUGCUAUUGACUUCGGCCUCACUGGUAAAAGGACCUCAACUUCCGAAACUCCCGGUAUCACUGUUAUCACUUCUAUUAGGCCUCAGAGUCAUCAUAUCCCUAUAAGGAUAGUAGUAGAUAAAAGUUUCAUGAUUAACAAAAUUGCUUUACUUGACAGCGGAGCUGACCGUAAUUGUAUAAUUAAAGGUAUUGCUCAUAUUCAUCACUUAGAGAAAAGUACCUCCAGGUUUUACUCCGCUAGAGGAGAACAAUUACGCAUUAACUAUAAACUGUCUAAAGCUCAUAUUUGCAACAAUGGUAUUUGCCUAACAAAUGAUUUUGUUAUUACAGAAGAUAUCAUCUUAGGAAUUCCUUUUAUCACCUAGAUAAAACCCUUUGUCACUGAUUUAAAUGGUAUAACUACCACCAUCCUAGAAAAAUAUCUACAUUUUCCUUUUUUAAAAACUCUUUCACAAGAUGAAAGCAAUUUUAUUAGAAAAAAUAAUGCUUUUAGAAUCAACCAACUUUCUCAACAUCACCUUUUUAAAAGAUGAAAUUAAGGUCAAAAAAAUCGAGCCGAUUUUAAAAACCCCGAAGAUGGUUACUAAAAUAGCCGAUCUUCAAAAACGUUUUGAGAAAGAAAUAUGCUUUGAUUUUCCUAACAUUUUUUGGGAAAGAAAAAAAAGCAUGUGAUUAAAAUUCCAUACAUAGAAGGAUUCAAUGAACAUGUCAUUUCUACUAAGGCAAGACCUAUCCAAAUGAAUCAUGAAAUGAUGAAAAAUCGCAAAAAAGAGAUUUUAAAUCUUUUAAAAAAUAAAAUUAUUCAUCCUUCUAAAUCUCCCUGGAGUUGUUCUGCAUUUUAUGUUAAUAACAAUGUAGAAAAGGAAAGAGGAGCACUACGACCAGUUAUCAACUAUAAACCUUUAAACGCUGUUUUAAAAUGGAUUAGGUAUCCAAUUCCUAACAAAAGAGAGCUCUUAAAAAGAACCUAUAAAGGUAAUGUCUAGCAAAUUUAAUAUGAAAUCUGGUUUUUGGCAAAUUCAAGUAGCCAAAAAAUACAUAUACAAAAUGGCCUUUAAUGUACCCUUCGGACAAUACGAAUGGAACGUUAUGCCUUUUGGGUUCAAGAAUGCCCCUUCUGAGUUUCAAAAUGUCAUGAACUCUAUUUUUAAUGAUUUUAGUCAUAUGUCUAUUUUUUAUAUAGAUGAUGUUCUUAUCUUUUCCGAAAAUAUCGAUUCACAUUUCAAACAUCUUAAUACCUUCUUUAAAGUGGUAAAAUUUAAUGGUUUAGUUGUUAGCGCUAAAAAGAUAAAACUCUUUCAAAAGUCUAUCAGAUUUAUAGGCCAUGACCUGUAUCAAGGUUCUUAUAAACCCAUUUGUAGAGCCAUAGAGUUCUCUUCCAAGUUUCCCAAUGAAAUUACGGAUAAGACCCAGCUUCAAAGAUUUCAAGGAAGUCUCAACUAUGUAGCUGACUUUAUUCCUAACAUUAGGCAUGUUUGUGAGCCUUUGUACAAAAGAGUUAGGAAGAAUCCUAUCCCUUGGAGUUCUGAGCAAACACAUGCAAUAAUCUGAAUCAAAAGAACGAUUCAAAACCUUCCCUGUUUAGGUAUUCCCAACCCAUAAGCCUUUAUGAUCGUAGAGACUGAUGCUUCAGAUAUCGGAUAUGGAGGAAUCCUUAAACAAAGAAUGACCCCUGAGUCCUCUGAACAACUUAUUCGUUUUACUUCACGAAUCUAGAAUUCCGCUCAAAAAAAUUAUUCUACUGUUAAAAAGGAAGUCUUGUCUAUAGUGCUAUGUAUCACUAAAUUUCAAGAUGAUCUUACUAAUAAAGAAUUUUUAGUAAGAGUUGAUUGUAAAUUGGCCAAAGAAAUUCUUCAAAAGGAUGUUAAAAAUGUUAUUUCAAAACAAAUAUUUGCUAGAUGGCAAGCUCUACUAUUUAGCUUUGAUUUCAAAAUUGAUUUCAUUAAAGGAGAGGAAAACUCUUUACCUAAUUUUCUAACUAGAGAAUUUCUACAGGAAAAAAAUGAGGCCCUUCAAACCUGACCCUUCCCUCAAAGGAAAAGAAUCGAAAAAUCCCCAAAUGGCUAGACCAUUUGAACUUCCCCCGUUUUCCCUACCAAAACUACAAUCUCGCAAAGACCCCAAAUUCCUUUUCAAAAUAGGUACACAGCGCUGGCUGAAUACCCCCAAAUUACCAGCUCAUGUACCAGUCCUAUCAGCCAAACUGAUUAAUCUUAAAUCAGCAAAACCAUUUGAAAAAGGAGCAUCAUUAAGUUCCUCGGUACAAACCAAAGAAAGUUACGCCAUAAAGGCCCCAGAAACCUUUGCUGAAGCAGUCAACCCAUCAUCUACUCCAAAAAAGCCGCAAGAUGGCACAUCUCCUUCUAAAGAAGAAAAAUUCGAGUUCAUCACUUCUCAGGUACUGCCUCUAAUGGCAAUUGAUAAAGAAUAUGAAGGUUUCAAGGUAGAAGACCUUAUCAAGCCAUGUUACACAAAUUUUAAUUAUGUGGAUACAGAAAAUCCAUACAAAACAAGAAGAUAUUAUGAGUCCAUCCAAAUAGAUACCGAUUCCAUAGAAGUGGAACACACCAUGAAUGAAAAGGAUCCAGAGUAUAUCAAUUACUCCAGGUUUACUAUCAAAAAGAUUUUAUCUCCAUUUGAAUGGUUUGCAGAUCAUCUGCACACCACCAUAGCAUUGUCAAUGACACACUGACCUCAGACUCACAAUUAGCAUGACUACAAAGCUACCUGGUUCAACUUUUUAUAUCUCAGGACAGGACAUACUUGGUUCGUUAAAUAUUGUCUCGAAGUCACCAAAUCAGUUAUCCCAAGAUGGUUCUACGAGUGGUGGAAUCUUUUCGGAGGUAACAAAAGAAUAUUACCACAACAAUUUCUCAGCAGGUUCGAAGAUUUUCAGACCAAAGAAGAAAUCUCAUCCCUACCGGAGCAUAUUAAAAUGUGCAAAUAUUUUAUUCAAUAAAGAAUAUCCUUUAUUGUUAGUUGAAAUUUCUCAAAAACAGAAUUCGAAAGAAUCGGAUUCUUGUCCAAAGAAAUUAAAAUCAGAGGCUGGACUCCUAAACAGCAAACUCCCAAGCCUCAUAAGAGUGUUCUACCGAACUCUACAAAGGCUUCACCAUCAAAAGCAGAGCUCAGAGAAAAACUCAGACAAGCUCUACAAAAUGUUGAUAAAUAUGAAUAGCAAUAGAUUAUGCAAUUAAUCGAAGAUGCUACUUCAUCCGGAGGAAGUAGCAAUGGAAACAUGUGUAAUCCUAAAGGAUUGGCACUUGCCUACAUGGACCCCAAUUAUGAAUAAAAGAAACGACCCUUGAGAAAAGGUAGAAGUUCAAAGAGCCGGAAUUGCUUUUUCCAAAGGGAAUUCUACUAUUCUCAAAAGGGAUCUAUUAUUAUCUAUCAUCAUCAAAGACAAAAGCAUUACCUAAUUUAUUAAAAGUAACCAUCCCUCUUUUGUAAUAGUCGGCCACAAGGCCUUUACUUUUGUCGGCAACAUUUAAGCCGUCCACUUGUUAUCAUCCUAGAGACAACUAAAACUCCCCUAGAUCUAUAUAAGACUUCACUUACCCAUUGUAAGAGGCAUGAGAAAAUUACCCAAUUUUCUAAGACCUCUCUCCCAACUAUCUUUAUAUUCUCUCUUAUGUUCCUAUGUUUUGCUUAAUGAAGUUUUUCCAAUAAACUUUCAGUUUGUAAGUAUACUUUCUAAUACUUUUUAGUACCUCAAUACAAUACAAAAGGUCCUUAUUUAUAGUUAUACUCUACAGGGACAUAUUACUCCUAUUCCAAUGUGGGACAAGACUACAUUAUGUACAUAUCUGUAAACUAAUACUCUCCCUCAAGCCGGUGCAUACAAAUCAUAUGUACCGAGCUUGUUACAUAUAUAACCAAUACGAGGACCAGUGAGGGAUUUGGCGAAAAUAUCUGCAAGUUGAUCAUUCGACCUCACAAACUUUGUAGCAAUCUCUCCUGAAAGUAUCUUUUCUCUGACGAAGUGACAAUCAAUCUCAAUGUGUUUAGUUCUCUCAUGGAACACCGGAUUUGAUGCAAUAUGAAGGGCAGCUUGAUUAUCGCACACAAGUUCCAUCUACUAAUUUCACCAAAUUUUAACUCCUUGAGCAAUUGUUUGGUCCAGACUAACUCACAUGUUGCCAUAGCCAUUGCUCGAUAUUCUGCUUCUGCACUAGACCGAGCAACUACAUUUUGUUUCUUGCUCUUCCAAGACACCAAAUUUCCUCCUAGUAAAACACAAUAUCCAGACGUAGAACGUCUAUCAGAAGGUGAUCCUGCCCAAUCAACAUCUGAGUAUCCAACAAUCUGCUCAUGACCUCGAUCCUCAAACAGUAACCCUUUGCCUGGAGCCAAUUUUAUAUACCGAAUAAUACGGACAAUUGCAUCUCAAUGACUAUCAUAGGGAGAAUUCNNNNNNNNNNNNNNNNNNNNNNNNNNNNNNNNNNNNNNNNNNNNNNNNNNNNNNNNNNNNNNNNNNNNNNNNNNNNNNNNNNNNNNNNNNNNNNNNNNNNNNNNNNNNNNNNNNNNNNNNNNNNNNNNNNNNNNNNNNNNNNNNNNNNNNNNNNNNNNNNNNNNNNNNNNNNNNNNNNNNNNNNNNNNNNNNNNNNNNNNNNNNNNNNNNNNNNNNNNNNNNNNNNNNNNNNNNNNNNNNNNNNNNNNNNNNNNNNNNNNNNNNNNNNNNNNNNNNNNNNNNNNNNNNNNNNNNNNNNNNNNNNNNNNNNNNNNNNNNNNNNNNNNNNNNNNNNNNNNNNNNNNNNNNNNNNNNNNNNNNNNNNNNNNNNNNNNNNNNNNNNNNNNNNNNNNNNNNNNNNNNNNNNNNNNNNNNNNNNNNNNNNNNNNNNNNNNNNNNNNNNNNNNNNNNNNNNNNNNNNNNNNNNNNNNNNNNNNNNNNNNNNNNNNNNNNNNNNNNNNNNNNNNNNNNNNNNNNNNNNNNNNNNNNNNNNNNNNNNNNNNNNNNNNNNNNNNNNNNNNNNNNNNNNNNNNNNNNNNNNNNNNNNNNNNNNNNNNNNNNNNNNNNNNNNNNNNNNNNNNNNNNNNNNNNNNNNNNNNNNNNNNNNNNNNNNNNNNNNNNNNNNNNNNNNNNNNNNNNNNNNNNNNNNNNNNNNNNNNNNNNNNNNNNNNNNNNNNNNNNNNNNNNGAGGAUACUGCUUUAGACCAUAAAGUGACCGACGCAAGCGACAUACAAGGUCACGAGACUCCUCCUGAGCAAAAUACCAAGUGGUUGCUCCAUAUAAACCUCGUCCUCAAGAUCACCAUGAAGAAAGGCAUUCUUAAUGUCCAGCUGAUAGAGAGACCAAUGACGAACCGCAACCAUGGAUAGAAAAAGGCGGACUGAUGCUACUUUAGCCACGGGAGAAAAGGUAUCACUAUAAUCGAGCCCAAAUAUCUGAGUAUAUCAUUUGGCAACAAGACGGACCUUAAGUCGAUCAACCUGACCAUCGGGACCAACUUUGACUGCAUAAACCCAACGAUAACCAAUAGUAGAUUUACCUGAAGGAAGAGGAACAAGCUCCAAAGUACCACUUGUAUGUAAAGCAGACAUCUCGUCACUCAUAGUCUGUCGCCAUCCUGGAUGAGACAACGCUUCACCUGUAGACUUAGGGAUGAAAACCGAGGAUAAAGAAGAUAUAAAAGCAUAAUGGGAAGAUGACAGACGAUGAUAACUUAAACCGACAUAAUAGGGAUUAGGAUUAAGUAUGGUCCGUAUACCUUUCCGAAGUGCAAUCGGUGUACUAGGAAGAGACAAGUCCACAGUAGGAGCAGGGUCAGGUGCACGACGAGAACCAGUUGGGCCUGAUGUAGGGCGCAGACGACGAUGAUAAGUCAAGAGUGGUGUUCCUGUGGCUGGGGAUCUAAGAGGAACAACACUAGACUCCUUAACGGUUGGUAUAGGUGAAACUUAUUGGUCGAAGGUGGUGGAGGAGGAGCUAUAGUAAACUCCUCAAAGGUCGGUAUAGGUAAGACCUCAGAUAUAUCAUGGUGGUCAACAGAGGUAAAGAAAGGUUUAGACUAAAAAAAAUGUGACGUCAGCUGACAUAAGGUACCUACGAAGAUCAAGGGAAUAACAACGAUAUCCCUUCUGAACACGAGAAUAACCAAGGAAGACAUACUUGAGAGCACGAGGAGCUAACUUAUCUCUCCCGGGGGCUAAGUUAUGAACAAAAUACGUGCUCCCAAACACACGAGGUGGAAGAGAGUAUAAGGGUGAUUGGGGAAACAAUACUGAAUGCGGAAUCUGAUCCUUGAUGGGAGAUGAAGGCAUCUGAUUAGUCAAAUAACAAGCUGUGAGAACUGCAUCGCCCCAAAAACGCAACGGAACACGAGAUUCAAUUAGAAAUGCGCAAGUAGUCUCAAUAAGGUGCCUAUUCUUUCUCUCUGCAACCCCAUUUUGCUGAGGGGUAUAAGGACAAGAUGUCUGAUGCAUAAUUCCUUGAGAAGUCAUAAACUGCUGAGACUGAGAAGAUAAAUAUUGUAAGGCAUUAUCACUGCGCAAAAAUGCAAAUAGAAACACCAAAUUGGUUUUUGAUUUCAGCACAGAAACUCUAGAAUAUAGAAAAUAACUCAGAAUGAUCUUUCAUUAAGAAAAGCCAAGUACAUCUUGAAUAAUCAUCAAUAAAACUAAUAAAAUAACGAAAUCCCAAGGUUGAACCGACUCUACUAGGACCCUAUAUAUCAGAAUGAACUAAGGAGAAAACAGACUCUGCAUGACUCUCAACACUACGCGGAAAGGAGGCUCGGGUAUGUUUGCCAAACUAACACGACUCACAAUCUAAUGUAGACAAACUAGAUAAACUAGGCACCAUCUUCUGAAGUUUGGAUAAACUCGGAUGUCCUAAACGCCUGUGGAUUAGGUCUGGAGGAUCUGUAACUAGACAUGUUAUGGAAGGGCUAAGUGAGUUAAGGUAGUAAAGGCCUUCUGAUUCACGUCUUGUACCAAUUAUUUGUCCCGUACUGUGGUCCUGCAUAAUAAAAGAAUCGUCAAUAAAAUAUAUACCACAAUGGAGGGCACGAGUCAAACGACUAACAGAUGCAAGAAUAAAAGGACAGUCAGGGACAUAAAGAACGGAGUCUAGGGUGAUAGAAGACAAGGGAUUAGCUUGUCCAACUCUUUUUGCCUUAGUUUGACAUUCAUUGGCUAAAGUAACAGUGGGAAAAGACUCUGAAUAUACAAUAUUCGACAAAAGUAAUAUAUUACCUGAGAUGUGAUCAGAAGCGCCUGAAUCCAUGACCCAUGAUCCAAGAGUACUAGACUGGGAAACACAAGCAAAAGAAUUACGAGCAACAGAAGUAUCAGUCUGAGCACCCGAGGCUACUUGUGGAGAUGUCUGCUUACUUGCUCAAUACUGAAGGAGCUCAUUAUAUUCUUCUUUAGAUAAAGAAAAUCCCCGAUUACCUGUAGUCUCGGUCUAAGCAAUGUAAGCAUUUUUGGGUGGACGACCAUGUAAGGAAUAGCACAUUUCAUGAGUGUGUCCAAGUUUGUGACAAUAAGAACACUUGGGUCUAGAUCUUCCAAAACGACCUCCUCCUCGUCUAUUCUCCAUAGUUUGAGAUGCCCGAACAUCCACUGUCUAGGAUGCGAGAACAGAGGAAUCGAGUAUCUGUGAUGAGAUCACUGGGUGACUUGGUGCUGCAGCAAGGCGGAGUAAUCGAGAGAAUAUUUCAUCAACUGUGGGGACAGUCGGACUAGCCAAAAUCUGGCCGCGUACUGAAUCAAGAUCAUUAGGAAGUCCAGCGAGGGUAAGAACUAGAAACAUCUUCUGUUGCUGCUCUUGUUGUUUUUUAACACUAGCAGAAACUGGCAUCAACUUCUCAAAUUACUCCAUGACUGCUUGUACUUGACCCAAGUAAGUAGACAUAUCUAAUCCAUGAUUCUUUAAGUUUGUCAUCCGCGAUAUCAGAUCAUAAAAGCGAAAUAUGUCAUUAGUGUAUAAGGUCCGAGCCUUUGCCCAAACCAAAUAACAUGUCUGGAAUGGACGAAACAAGGGCAUCAACUUGGAAUCAAUAGAUCACCACAAGAUGCUACAUAACUGANNNNNNNNNNNNNNNNNNNNNNNNCCAGAACUCAUGUUUCUAGACCCAAAAUAUCAAAUCUCAAAGAUAUUGUUACAAAUUAUUACCAAAUAAAAGAAAGAAUCAACUGUAAUCCACUAAAACAGAGUAAGAAAAUAUUGUAGUCGUCGGAAUCUUACUGUAGCUGCCGGAAAAAACAAUGUUCACGCUGGAAGAAUAUAAAAGUGGUCGGAAUUUGGUGUAACCUGGAUGGGUAGGCUCAGAAUUCCUUUGCGAAUAAUCUGUCCCAAAGAAAUUUUUCCAAAAUGUGACCGGAAAGGGCCCCACGCGCCGACGCAUGACGUCGUAACUUCGCCGGAAAAAUUUCUUCUGGUGGCGCAUGGGAGCGCGUGGAGGGUCUUCUGACAGAGAUAUUUUUAUGGGUUGAUCGUCGGAGGUCGAUCUACUUCAUGGUGGUGUUGGUUUUUGCACAACAUUGACAAAAAAUGGCUUUUUUUUUAACUGCAACAGACCUAUGUUUGCCGGAAAAAAGACUUCUGGUUGACUGAUUUCUCUUCCCGGAGCCGCUGAAAUUUAUGCACAGUGAUAAAUCUCUCACGAUUGCUAUGAUACCAUGUGAGAAAGCACGGGAGAAAAUAUAUUAUUGAUAUUAGAUGCUCAAUACAAUACAAGAGGUCCUUAUUUAUAGCUAUACUCUACAAGGACAUAUUACUCCUAUUCCAAUGUGGGACAAGACUACAUUAUGUACAUAUGUGUAAACUAACAGUUGGAUAUUCAGAUGCUGAUUGAGCAGGAUCGCCUUGUGAUAGACGUUCUACGUCUGGAUAUUGUGUCUUAAUAGGAAGUAAUUUGGUGUCUUGGAAGAGCAAGAAACAGGAUGUGGUUGCUCGGUCUAGUGCAGAAGCAGAAUAUCGAGCAAUGGCUAUCGCGACAUGAGAGCUAAUUUGGAUCAAACAGUUGCUUUGAAAUUUGGUGAGCUCGGCUAGAUGGAACUUGUGUGUGAUAAUCAAGUUGAUCUUCAUAUUGCGUCAAAUCCAGUAUUCCAUGCGAGAACUAAACACAUUGAGAUUGACUGUCACUUUGUCAGAGAAAAGAUACUCUCGGGAGAUAUUGCUACAAAGUUUGUGAAGUCGAAUGAUCAACUUGCAAAUAUUUUCACCUAGUCCCUCACUGGUCCUCGUAUUAACUACAUAUGUAACAAGCUCGGUACAUAUGAUUUAUAUGCACCAACUUGAGGGGAAGUGUUAGAAUAGUUAUGUGAAUAUAUGUAAUUACUCCUAGUCCCUUAUGUAAUAUGAGUAUGAUGUGUGUUAUGUAUACAUAUAAAUAAGGCUUAUUGUAACAUAGAAUAUCAAUAAUAGAUUUUUCUCUCGUGCAUUCUCACAUGCACAAUAUAAUCAAAACUGGAUUUUGGAUGUUUUUACGGUAUAGAUAUUAUUGUAUACAUGUCUGGGAAGUUAAUAUAAGACUAAUUUAACAUAUGAAAGAGCUUCGAAUAAAGCAUAAUAAAUAUAUAUGAUUACAUAGCGAACCCAACUAGUUUAGGAGAAAUGCCACAGUCAGUACUGUGAGAUUUCUUAGAUUCGCUAUUCAAGAUCUCAAGUUGGUAGAUUUACUUUCUUUAACUGGUCGAGUUCAUUCUAUCCUAGGAGUAUGCAUAUUUGCUAAUCACUCCUUAGUCUAAGGCAACACAUAAUAAUAGAAGUUAAAAAAUUUUGUGGGAAUUUUUAAGUUGCAAGUUGACAAUGCAACAAAAGUAACAUACUCGAGUUUGUAAGAAUCAAGCUUUGGACUAAGUUGCGCGGACUCUUGGUUUUUGGUGCCGCACCCGUCUCGACACGGGACGGGAGCGGGUGCGGGAUACGUCCCGGAUUCGAUCAACUACCUUCGGAUACUAUGACCUGAGUCCAUCGAGAAAUUUGGGGGGAAAUUGAGAUUUUGAUUUCUCAAAAUUAAAAAUAAAACAGAUUUAAGACAUGGGAAAUGGCAUACCUUCAAUAUUGUAGUACUUUUGUCUCAUAUUUGCUGCUUUUUCUGAUAGACAAUAGCAGAAUUCAAGGGGUCGUGUUCUUAAUUCGGACUUCUGGUAGACAAUAGCAGUGAUAUAGAUGGAGAGUUGGUGGAAGGCCUUGAAUGACUUUCUUUUUCUCUUUAUAGCUCUAUUUUUUAUAAUUUUGAAUUUUUUUAGCCGAAUCCCCGCACCCGUAUCCAUACCUGGAUCCGCACCCCCGAAUCUUAAAAUUUAGAUUUUGCCGAAUUCGACACUAUGAUCCGUGUCCGUAUCGGAUACCCGCACCCUAGUCUGAGCAACUUAGGCUUUGGAUUUAUUUUUUAAAAAAUAGAAAAAAGAUGUUUAAAUACUAAAGCAUGAGCAUUGAGAUGAUGCAUAUGGAAAAUUUCUAUAAUGAGACUUGAAAAUGAGUAUUUGGUUUCUUGUGAAAAUGUUAAUGUUUUUUGUUUUGAAGCUAGUGUGGAUCAUACCUAAUCUCAGAGAAAAUUCUGGAAGAAGGAUUGAAACGCUACCUCGUUUUCACACACUUUGAAUCGAACUUCAGAGAUUUUUAAAAUAAAUGCACGCACCAAUAGCGACAUUGAGCAGCCGGAGAUUGAUUGGAAAGGCAGGCCCUCCUGUGGACCUAUCUGCCCGUGCUCGUAGACCAAUCGAAGGUCAAGACUGUAGUCUGGUGGAAAACAAAAAUCGUCAAAAGCUUUGGUUGGUGCAGUUUUCUUUAGACCCACCCUUCAUCAUAAUGAGGAGUCGACAUCCCCUUCUCGAUCAUCAGUGAUCAGACGCCUUUAACUUUUUCCUUUCUCCUCUUUGCAUCAAUGGCGUAUCUGAGUUACCUUGUUCUCCUUCCUGAUAUCGUCUCCAUUAUUGAAGCAAUAUACCUAACAUGUAAAGAAAAAAACAGACACGGUGAGUUAUAAGCAAAUUCAUUAAGCUAUUCUGGGAAACUUUGGAGUAAUGAAUAAGAGAUGAGAUAACUUGCGAAUCCAUAACUGAAGCACACAAAUCAUUCAAACUCUAGUGGUACCACCAAAAUACAUGAAAAUCUCAUGGUCAUCGCAAUGUUAUGAGAAAGGCACUUAAACUCCAUCACACGAAAAAUCAACAGUUUGUAGGAACAAACAUAUCCCCAAAAGUAGGGUAAGAAACAAAAUUUUCAAUAUAGAUGGUAGUAAUACGAAAAGUUUGUUACAGAAAUGCAUAACCCCCCCCCCCCCCCCCCCCCCCGCCACAACCCCCAACCCUAAAAGAUCCGACUAUGACAUCAAUUUCCUCUUCCGUACAAGAAAAAGGAAAGAGAAUGGCAAUACAAACAGAUGCAUUUGUUUUACAACUGGUAUUACUUAUUGUGCUUUGGUAAUACUAAGGCAAUCUGCAUCUGUGACUUUUACUAAGGUCUCAAGGCUUACACCUUUGAAGGCAAUCUACAUCUGUGACUUUUACUAAGGUCUCAAGGCUUACACCUUUGCCUUGUUUGUUAGCAGGUCAAGACAAAUCACAAUAUGAAGGACCUUUACAUAGGUUUUGGCAUGUCAAAACAUUAAAAUGUGAUGGAAAUAAUAGAUCAAUCUGUUCUUGGGAACUUCAUAGUCUUUAGUUGUUUAUCCUUUACUUGCAGUUGCUUUUCCUUUGAGCAUGAUGCAAUAAUAUAGUACAAUUACCCUUCAACUUUGCUUCAUACAAGGUCUAGCAAAACUGGCACCAACAGUGAUGCAUUACCAUGCUAAACGUGCAGAUAUCGUUUAUCUGAAGAAAGCACAUUAACUUGUGCAUAUCGCAUAAAAGGACCGUACAUAUAAAGAAGUUGCAACAAUCACUACAUAAAUCAGGGCAAAAGACAAUAACUACAAAAUCAAGAGCUAGCUACACAAUAAGUAAACUCAGACAUACUGUCGUCGCUUCUAAGAGGUCCUCAAACUUUCCUGUUAAGCACUUAGAAAGCGGAUAAAAGAUUAUCAUUGCCUUUCACCCAGGGGCGGAUGUAGUGUAUUACCUACGGGUUCAACUGAACCCAUAACUUUCGACGCGGAGUAAAAAAUUGUAAGUAAAAAUUCAUUAAAAUUGCAAAAAUAGUAGAUUUGAACCCAUAACUUUAAAAAUAUAAUGGGUUCAAUGCUAAAAAUUUUAAAAUUGAACCCAUAGAAUUUAAAUCCUGGAUCCGCCUCUGCUUUCACCGUACAAAAGGAAAGGUGAGAGCAACAUGCAUGUGAUCGUAAUAGAUGAAAGCCAAAUAAGUUAAGCUCUAGAAUAAGAAACAUUGAACUUCAAGAAACCACCUAGUCAUAGCUCAAACUGAAAUACACAUCCAGAAGGAGCUCAUUCAAUCUGACUUUCCAAGAGAUAUAAAGGACCAUAAUGCUCUAUUAGACCUUGCUCAGUGGUAAAUUGUUCACGGAUGAGGAUUUAUGAAUCCUUAAGACUGUAAUCAGUUAAGCAAACAUAUCUCCUCACUCAGCACCAUCCUCACCACCCCUCCAACCCCAAAGAAAGACCUGAUGCUAGUGAUUCAUUUACGAGGCACUCCUGAACUAUCUGUCUAUCUCAGAAGAAAGAAAAAUUACAUUAAUUACAAACAUACACGUAUGAAUCAGGGAAUUCUCUCACCAAGCUAAAACUAAAAAAAAUGUUUGGCAAAAGGUAAAAUUUUAUAAAAUGAGUAGCACCAAGGAGGUACUUAACUUUACAAACAGUACCAGUCUUCUACUUCUGCCUGUAAGUAGUCCAAAAGAACCAGGAUAUCAACAAAAUCAGCUGCUACACCUUUUACACCAACUAUACAAGAAUACCGUGCUCAAUUUUUGUACUAAGCAUCUCACAUUCCCAAUCUCCUAAUCAUUGAAAUUUCUUCCGGAAAGAAGAUUCCAUCCACCUUCAGAAAAGCAGCUUGUAACAAGUUUUGUUAAUGACGAGUUAAUAUAAAUCUGGAAAAACGUCCCCAAGGCAGUAUUUAUCCAGCCAAAGCCUGAUAUUUCUUCUAUUUUCGACUUUUAAGCCUGUAUGUGAAUUAAAUUCAUCCCAGCAACUUUGAAUUUACUUCCAUAUAGCUACUCCAUAAGGAGCCUUCACCGGCUUUGUGUACUAGGGAGAUUCCAUCUCAUAUAUUUUACAUUCAUAACUUUCUUCCAGUCUCUUCCAUCAUUAAACCUCCGGUGCCAUUUCUAUAACAAAAUUUUGUUGUUAAUUUUCAAAUUUUCUAACUCCCCUUCCACCUUCUGUUUUGUCUUUCAUGACUGCCGACCAUUUCACUAAAUGAUGCUUUCUGUUGUCACCCCCACCUUCCCACAAGGAGUCUGAUCUGAAUCUAUUUACAGGCAUUACAAAUACUAGAAGAAAAUCUUUCAGCAGAAUGAUACAUUCUUUCCAACUCAUGUAACAUGCUACCAUAUUUUUAAAGGCAAAUAACUGUAUUGAGUGACCUAAUCCCCUUGUUCCGACAGACUAUCCAAUGCACUCCUUGACAAGCACAUAUACGUCAGAAUUAUUUGAGAAGUGUGACCACAGUUGAAAGUCUAGAAUCAUACACAAUUCAAAGGCUAAUCAUUUAAGGAAAACAGUUUUCUAAAGAAAUCCAGUUUGUACUUAGCUGCAUCUUAUCUUAUCUUUUUAAAAGAGAAACUGUAUAUAUAUAUUUUUUCCUUCCCUUAAGUUUCAAUUCUUCAUUCAAGUAAAUAUUUGUUAGAGAAGCAUUAUUAUUUUCACGUGGACAAAUUUCCCUUUCACCAUCCUUUCCUUGUUCCGAUGAUGAUCUAUAUGUUGUAAAGUUCUUCUAGCAAAAUCUUCUAAUAAUUAAUCAUCUUUCAUAUUUUUUAAUUGUGAUGCAUCUACAAUCAGAAACUAAAGCAAGUGCACUAACUUUCUAACAAGUAAUUCAUGAUUGAAUUGUUGUACUGACUGUUAAAGCAUCGCCCUGACAUUUUGUCUUCAAUUUGUGAAAAAGAUAGAAUACUUUUGCUAGAAAAGUUGUUUAUUGAGAUUUGACAAAGUGAAAUUUUUAAAGGAAAAAAGAAUUAAANNNNNNNNNNNNNNNNNNNNNNNNNNNNNNNNNNNNNNNNNNNNNNNNNNNNNNNNNNNNNNNNNNNNNNNNNNNNNNNNNNNNNNNNNNNNNNNNNNNNNNNNNNNNNNNNNNNNNNNNNNNNNNNNNNNNNNNNNNNNNNNNNNNNNNNNNNNNNNNNNNNNNNNNNNNNNNNNNNNNNNNNNNNNNNNNNNNNNNNNNNNNNNNNNNNNNNNNNNNNNNNNNNNNNNNNNNNNNNNNNNNNNNNNNNNNNNNNNNNNNNNNNNNNNNNNNNNNNNNNNNNNNNNNNNNNNNUUCUUCUCUCUCUCUCCUACCCCCCCCCCCCUCCUCCCUCUCCCUCCCCUCUCUCUCUCUUUGCAUGAUAUUCAGUUUUAUACAUUUGCCUUUCAGAUUGGCUACUAACUAUUGAUCUUUCCUCUGCUGCUCAAGCGGCAGAUUAAACUCAGGUUUUACCCUUUUAGAGGUCUGAGCUCUUCUCAAUCGGUCAAUCUUCUUUUCUUUUUUUUUUAAUGAUGGUAGUGUCCGGGCCAGCUUGUGCGCACCUCGACUAUUCCACCGGAUACCUGCUAUCUCUCACCAGCACAGGUACCGGGUAAUUCUGCCUAUCAAGAUUUUGGCAGAUGGGAAGAAGGCACCUACUAUUUUUUGUGUCACUUGGGAUUUGAACCUUGGUCUUCAAGGUUUGCACCCACUUCAUUGACCAGUUGUCCACACCCUUGGGUGUGAAUCAGUCAUUCAUUUAGCACAUUCCUUCUUGCUAGCAGUAUUGUUUAUAUCCUUGUUCAAUGAAGCCUGUUGAGUAGACUUUAAAAGCUCUUUGGUUCCAAGAGAUAAAUUUCAGUGACAUAGAUUUACUUUAAUCCCUAAUUGUUUUCUAAUUUCUCGUCAACUAUGUAAUUAAUUACCCUAAUUAGCAUUGCAAGAAGUAUGAAACAAGAGGGCACUAACCCCUAUGUAAUUAAUGGGUAAAUGUCAAAGAUGCCCGCAUAAAAUGUGGGAAUAUACAAUUACAUGGCAAGUGAUAGGUAUAAAUGCCAUUGAAAGAUUAGCCACAGAAGAUAACAUUAACAUUCAGAAAACCUACUCAAAAUGCCAUUCUCUUAAAGAAUGUUAAAAAUGCUUUUAAAGUAAUUACAUUAAAUUAGUAGAAUAUAACUCACAUUUACUACCUUCAUUCCUACCGUAUAGGCACAGCAGUUGCAUAGAGACUAUUUUACUUAAUAGGAAAAAAUACAUGAUUCUUAUUCAUUACUCACACUAAGUUUACAAAGUUGACAUACAUUUACCAAAAGAAUCUAAAGAAAUAGCGUGUCCCCUUAUUACAAGAUGUGCUUAGAACUAAAUCAUAUUAAAGAGUAGAAUCCAAAAGCUUGGUCCAUACUAGAUCUGACAUACAAAAUAGGAAUACAUUAUUCAUAACUCGAUGUAGCUUAGUACUAAAUCCAAUUUGAGGUGUGAAAGAUCUGUAAGCUUGUCCAACUGAAUAGAUGUUAUAUCACUUGCUCAUUCCAGUUUAUACUUAGUGGUUGUACAACCUGAAUCCUUUAAUCCACUAACAUGAAAUGGAAAAUUUAUAGACACCCUAGGAGUAGACAAUUUAAACCUAUCCAGUGGGCCAUAUGAGAGCUACUAGACACCAGGAUAUUCAAAUGAUGACUUUUUUCUUCUUUCUCAAUUGGGACUUAAACAAUGAUUUUAAAGGGGGUUAUGAGAUGGUACAGCUGAUGCCGAAACAAUUUAAUCAUAUAAUCUUUUUCAAAAAUAAAUCCUUCCUAUAUUCCAUCUAGAAUUGUUUCAACUACAGUUAUCUUUUAAUCCUCUCACAAAAAUUCAAAAUAGUGUUCCUAACAAUUGCUCGGUCAUACUCCACUUCUCAUAUUUAGGUACACAAGUAUGAGUCAAAGGCAAGGAAGGAACCACACAUUUUUCCAUAUUGAGAUAAUCAUUGUUCUGAUAUCUGAGAAAAUAAGUAUCCUUGUCACCUGAUAAUCUAUAUGUUCAUCGCAUUAAUCCAUAGAGUCAAUGCAUCAUAACACAUAACGAAGGCCACAGAAUUUUCGGAUGUUUGUGUCUUUUGUGUUCAAUAGUUCUAUGUAUCAAUGGUUCCUCUUGCAGCUCUUCGUGUUAUCAAGACUAACUUGUCUAAUCUAGUCUAUAAGUAAUCUAUGUCACAAAUAAUUUCAGAAGUUGGAAAUAACCCUCAUAGUGCAGGCAAACAGAGGACACAAAAGUUCUCUAAUGGAUACGGCCAAGGGUGACCAAAGAUCUGAAGUGAAAGACUCUGGGAAAUCAGUCAAAGCAGAUGCAUCAAUGGAUUGCAAGCUCAAUGAGAUUUAUGAAGCUUUAUGUUGUAUGCUAUGCAGUAAACUGUUUGAAGAAGCCACCACUGUAAACCUUUGCCUUCACACAUGUAAGCUUCAAUGAGUUGCUUCUCUGUGUUUUUUGCAUUCACAUGCAUGCACACGUAAACAGACAUUUACGUAUGUUGUGUGACCAAGUCUAUACUCUUCUCACUUUUGAUAUUAUUACCAUAAUAAUACAGUAGCACAAUUAAUAAAAAUAUUUUUUUAAGGUAAAGGUUUUAUAUAAAAUGGUACAGAGAUGGUACACAAAAAGUGCAAGAAAUAGCUGCAGCUAUUCCACCAAUCCUAUUACACAAUUAAUAAUAGAAUUAUCAAUACGAAAAGCUCGGUUUCUUCUUUUUAACCAGACAACUUCAGAUACUUAACAUGUCCAUGGGCAUGUUUAGCACCACAAACCAACUAGCAAAGUGCACUUCAAGGUAGACGAGUGUCAAAAAUAUGUUAUAGGCUAUCAAACUUGAGAUAUAAGGGAUCGUUUGGUUGGAAAGAAGUUAUCCCAGGACUAAUUAUCCCGGGAUUAGUUAUUCCAUCUUCCCAUGGGGAUAAAAAAAUACUACAAUCCCGGGACUAAUUAUACCGCACUUUUCUACCAACCAAACAUGGGAUAAACUCUUCUUAAAUUUAGUCCCGGGAUUAAUUAUUCCUUAUCCCUCAUACCAAACGAGCCCUAAUUGUCUUCACUUUAUGAUAACAGAAGUAUAAGAUUUCCGGACCACAAGCUCUUUAAACUAAAAAAAGUGGCAGUAUUAUUCUCAUGAUUUGGACAUUAAGACUUGGAGGGUGUACGUUGAUCCUUUUCCAGAAUGCUUCCCUCUUCAUAAAGUAAUAAGAAAAUAUCUAGUUAUCAAAUAAGAAGUGCAUCUCUUCAGCUAUCAAUGUUUGUAUUUUCAUUUGUUGAGAUGGACAUUAUCUUUCUUUUGUUGUUGAUAAGUUUGUUUUAGUGAGACUGGUAAUUAGCUGGUUUACUUUAUGAAAGAAAAUAGUUAGCUUGCUUACUUAAUUUUAUGAUUCUCGUCAAUAUUAGCCCCAUGAUUGAUUCUUGUUCAUACAUGAAAUUGUUAACUUAUUUAUCUCAGGCUUACAACAAUUCCUUCUUGCUUGCAGUUUGCAAAAGGUGCAUCUAUCAAGCAGUUCAAGAAACUAAGUGCUGCCCACAAUGCAAGGAAGACCUAGGUUCUUCACCUGAAGAGCAUCUCAAGUAAUAGCUGGCCUCAUUUCUCUUUCAUUUAAAGCUCAAUGUUUUCUCAAGUAAAUAUAUGUUCAGAAGCUGCAGAAAGAAAUAAAAAAAUAAUGUGAUAGUUGAUGUGACCUAUGUCUUUUGACAUGCGUCAGAUAGAAUAGGAACAGUCAGCAGCCAAUCAGAAGUUCAUUUCAUAGGCGCAAAGUUCUUUAACAGCCAUUUUUUAUGAGUAUGAUCGCUUGCCAAUUAACUGAGAACUUCAUAGGCCUACGACGGUUCAAAGAUCCUUUUUUAAAGCCCUUCCAAAUUUCACUUCAAAUUGGCUGUGUUCAUUAGGAUAUGACGGAGUACUGGGACAAAAUGCUUCUCUAAUAUUAUCGCAGCUUUAAAGCUUGCACAGUUAGAUUUAUUGCUUCUUAAAGCAGAAACUGCCUCUACGCACAAGAAUAUUUCAUUGGACUAUUAUAUCCAUUUUCGAUAAAACUUUGGGAUAAAUGAGAUAUUAUUCUGUAUACGGGGACCUCUCCUUCAGAUCCUUCAGUAAUGGUACGCAAACCUAUAAUUAAGUAGCUGCACAGAACUUAAGGACCUGAAGUUUCUUUCUGACACAUCACCAGAAGUUUGGCAAUUGGAUAGAUCAUUUGUGUCGAUAAGAACCUAUCAUGUCAGAUAGAACUCAGAAUCUUUUUGAGUCUACAUACCUAACCACAUACGGGCAUCAGUGUUAUUAAAAGCUAUCGCUUCAUUGCUUAAAGCGAUGAAGCAAUAAAAAGCGAGUGUUAUCGCUUCAUGAAGUUAUUCGGGAUAAAGUGGGAGUGGCCCCUGUGGAAAAUAAGAUGCAGGAGGCGAGGUUGAAAUGGUUCGGGUAUGCUAAGAGGAGAAGCACAGAAGCCCCAGUUAGGAGGUGUGAGGGGUUAGCCUUGGUGGGUAUGAAGAGGGUUAGAGGUAGGCCUAAGAAGUCUUGGGGAGAGGUGAUUAGGCGAGACAUGACGCAAUUGAAGCUUACUGAGGACAUGACCCUUGAUAGAAGGGUGUGAAAGUCGAGGAUUAGGGUAGAAGGUUAGUAGGUAGGCAAGCGUUCCCUUUUGUUUUCCUUCAUUCGGUAGCAUUAGUUCUAGUUUGAUAUCUUUCUACUGUUAGAUUGCUAUUAUUACCUACCUUUUAGUUGCUACCUUUGCUUCGGUUUUCUUUUAUAAUGUUGUUGUUACUACUUGUUGCCAUUACUUCUUUUCAUCAUUUCUUUAGCCGAGGGUCUAUCGGAAACAGUCUCUUCUCCUUUCCAGGAUAGGAGUAAGGCUGCGUACAUCUUACCCUCCCAAGACCCCACUUGUGAGAAGAGAAUUCACUGGGCAUGUUAUUGUUGUUGUUGUUAUCGCUUCAUGAGUGAAGCCAUGUGCUUCAGUAGAGUGUAAAUUUGUGUUUAAAACAAUGACGUGCAAAGUGAUCCAAAUGGGAAGCAGUCUGUGUUUUUAAUCUCAACUUUGAGGAGUUGGACUAAUGUCAUCCAAUUGUAUACUGAAUGCUGAAACUAGUUAUUUUAAUGCAACUUAAUUAUUUAUUAUAGUGUAUGUUGGUACUUUAAAAUUUUACGUAAAUAGUGGUUUUCACUUCAAAGAAGAGUGUGCUUCACUUCUCGCUUUUCGCUUCAAGUCCAGUGACUCUUGUGGGUUUUUAGCCCUUUACGCUUUUAAAAGCACUGAGUUGCAGCAUGUACGCCGGAUCAGAAUGUCUGGACUCCAAUAAGUUAAUGCUCUAUUGAUGGAAGGAAGGCACACCAGGGUGGAAACUCCACCCCUACUUUUCUUUUACUAACCUUAUCUCUUCUUUUUGCCAAUGGACUGCAUAUUUUCAACAGAGAUGAUGAGAAAAUACGGUCCAUAGCACACAAAAUUCAGUCCCUCUUUAAUGGAGAAGGACAACUGGGAUCAGAAGCUAAUGAUGUGAGGCAAGGAUCUGGAACUAAUAAUCAGCUUGAGGAUCAUGAAAUUUCUGAGGAGAAGUUUCAUCACAACCCUGCACAUGCAGAGAAAGAAAAUACCUUAGAUCGCACGUCCUCACAAGAAAGCUCAGCUUUCUCUACAACUGCAUCUGCAGUUAAGGUAGUUAUCGGCUCUUUUCCUUUUCUCCAAUCAAAAGUUCACUGUAUUUGGCAUAUAUAUUUUGGAAAGGAAUUUGGCCUUAAGUUCGUACUGUUGGUUAGAUGUAUUUCACAUAACCUCAAUAUAAAAGUCUGUUUCUUUGAAGAUGCCUCAGGUUGCUUGCGGUGUAUCUCAAACCAAUGCUGAAGUAGGUAAGUCCAAGACGGAGGAGAUCAGAGGGCAAAAGAAGAAAAAGAGGAACAAGAACAGAAGAGCACGCCAGCUUACACCAGGUGAGACUAGUAAGACUGAGGAGAAAAAGUCAGACAUUGGGCCAGAUGACAUUCAUAAGGACGAGCAUGCCAAAGACAGAGAGUCUUCAACACCUAAAAAGCAAGUUUUGGAUGAAAAACAAAAGGAAGUCUGCUCUUUCUGGUUUUCUCUUGUACCACAGGGAGACAAGUACGUACCCGACCAGUCACAUCGUUCUCAAGAUUCUUGUUUCACUGAUCUGACACAAUUUUGUUCUUUUACUCUUGGCAGGAGUGGACGUAGGUUGCCGCCCAUUAAUAAGUCCUAUAUCCAUCUCAAGUAAGAUUUUCACAUGCAUACCUAUGCAUCUAUUCUUUUAGCAUAGACUGAAGUAUAAAGCAGAUUGAAAUCUUAAUUAGAUACAUGCAUGCAAGACGGGCCAAGCUAUUAAUUGCAUUUCACGAGAUAGCAUCUAAUACUAGCAUUUAAAUUCUGUCUUCAAUAUUGAUCUAACCCCUAUAUUUUUAAAUCUCAUUUUCAUCACCAUGUAAAAUGAAAUGACUGAUUUUGCAUCACAUGCAGGGACAGUAGGAUCACCGUAUCUGCAAUCCAGAAGUACCUCGCACAGAAGCUAAAUAUAAAUGAUCAUACUAAGGUAAUGAUUUUGUAUACAGAGUGCUAACCUAAUUUCAACGUAUUGCCUUUUUUUUAAAUCGAGAAAGUAUUGCCUUUAUUCACGUAGAGAACAACCAAAAGGGGAAAGAAAACUUUUGAAAGAAGGGCAAACCUAUUCGAAAUUCUUAAAGGGGAAUCACACAAUUCACUGUACAAAGUGCACAAGCAAAAACAACUCGUGAACUAUUUAUUUAGCCAGACUUCUGCCUCUGUCCCCCCAUAAUUACUUAAAAACUUAUGAUCUAAGCUUUCUUUUCAAGAGUCUCUAUCUGUUAAAUGAAUCUUUCUUUCUUCUUAGCUUACAGAGAAUACACAAAAAAAUCAGCCUUUAUUUGGUUGGGAAACAAUUGAGUGAGCUAAAAUACGAUUUAAGAUCUGAAAACCAGACAUCUGAGCACUCACUCCAACCAGCUCGGUAACUAGAAAAUUAAUGACAAAUAUCUACGCCUUAAUGCGUUGUCAAAAUUUUGCAUUUAUUUGAACUAGUUAGUUAGAUAAUAAUCAUUUCUUAACUACUAUUGAUACAUCAAGAACUAGGAACUACCCUCUAUUUGGAUUAUACACUAAUGUUUCCUUCACAUAGACAUAGAACCUAUGAAUGAGAGGGGGAGCAAAACAUUUUAAUGACUUGAAUUAAAAGGACAAAAUAAACAUGUAUGGAACAGUGAAACAGAUUGUUUUAUACAUACACGACGAAAUGUAGAAAAGGUUGCCACAGUAUUGCUUUGCCGCUGAAUCUUUUAUAAUACUUGGUGCAGGUGGAUGUUGUAUGCUGCAGGCAAAAGCUGGACGAAAGUAUGACCCUCAAGGACAUUCAGUUUAUAUGGAUGUCAGACCUUCAGAAUUCAGGAAGGAGAAAGGAUAAGUGGGACACAAAGGAGCUUGUGAUUGAGCUAGGGUACAUCAGAAGCGAGAAGUCUGAAACUCCCCAAAAGAAAUGAGAAGUGUGACAAUCAUGGUUUAAAUGCAAUGAACUUCCUAUCCAGCAAGAAACUUAAAGACUAUCAGUAAACAAUUUCUGUAUUUGCAUAAUAAUAGCCUCAGAGCUAUUAGUACCUUUCUCUGCUUUACUAUCGGCAAACAAUCUAUGCUUUGGACCUUGUGUUCUCUAGUUUCUUAUCAAAAUUAUGCUAUGGACUUCUAUACACCUAUCAUCUAGGUUGCACUGGCUGCUUGAUCUUUCCAUUUCCCCCCAAUAACUUGUAAAGUUGCUGUCAUGUGACCAGGAGGUCACGGGUUCGAGCUAUGGAAACAACCUCUUGGAGAAAUGCAGGGUAAGGUUACGUACAAUAGACUCUUGUGGUCCGGCCCUUCCACGGACCCCGCGCAGAGCGGGAGUUUAGUGCACCGGGCUGCCCUUUAUUCUACAAUAAGCAGGUUUUUCAGAAAGUCUGGUUGUCUUUCACUACAGGCAGAAGGAGUAAAUCUAUUUGGAACUAUUUCUCCUGUAGCUCAUAUGAUAGAGUUGAUGACCUUUCAUAUCUGUCUUUCUUCAGCCCAUCAAUUAGUGCUUGACAUACAAUUUGUGACUUAAAGAAUCAAUUCAAGCUCAAACCAGAUAUUGAUAAUUUAUGUACCAUUAUUCUUCUAGUAGUUCAAACAAUAGUUCAGUCAUAUUCAAAUGAAGUGCCCACUAUGCCCCCAAUAAAGAAUGACCUACUUUCCUUCUCGCUUCGUCAUUAAAAAAACUUGACCACCUUCCUUAGUUACAAAUAUUUCUCCCUAAUGCAAACAAAUAUAGAACUAAUACUAUUCCUUAUCCAUACAAGAUAGUUUUGGAUUGUCCCAAAAUGUCCACUUUACUACUUGAACUAUUUCCCCUGGCUUUUUAUUAGUUUUGAUAUUAUACUAUUCAAAAGCUACAAUUAUGGAUCGAACCGACAAAGAAGUAACUUAACCAACUUUGCUUCUAAAACAGGAAAGCAAUCGGGGAACUGAAGCCAUACAAAUUAAAUGACUUCUAUUACCACCCAUGCACCCAGAGGCGGAUCUUCCUAGUUCACCUGAACCCACAAAGCAUUUGCCUAGAUCCUAUAUAUGUAUAUUAAAAUUCACUAAAUAUAUUUAAAUAUUUAAUUGUGAGCUCAAUUAUUUUUAUAUAUUAAUUUGAGGUCACUGUAGGAACUCAUAAACUCCAAAUCAUGGAUCCGCCUAUUCCUACUCGAUCCAGCAUCAUUAAACUUCUGACCACAACAACAAUUAUAGAACCAAUAUCACCAUUUAAUUUGCAAGAUAUGAACUAGAAAAAUAGGAUUGGUUGAUCUCCAAAGAGUAAUAACCCAAAAGAUUGUUCCGAAUUUAGCUUCCAAGUACCGUAAAUUCUAGAAUAAGAAGCACAGUAAACAGUAGAAGAAUAUGAAGAAUAAGAGUAUAGUAUUAGAAGGAGAAGAGAAAUAUGGGUUACCCGUAAAAAUGACAGAGUAGAGAUGCGCCAAACUGAAUAGAGCUCCUUCAAUUUUUGGGGCUGAAAACGGUCUGUUGUUUUUGGCGAAGACGCUGU
rnacentral:lncRNA from 1 species